rnacentral:lncRNA from 1 species
AGGCCAUGUGAUUCGCGACUGGAACGGAAUUCUUGUGGGCUGUGCCAAUGGAAGCCGGCCUGAGCCGCGCCGCCGCCUCCGCUAGGGCAGGGAGCAGCUCGUCGUGGUCUUCCGACUCCCUAAACUCCACAGGUGCCCUUACUUUCCGCUCCCGUCUCUUCCACUCUUUCCGCGAUCCCUUUUCCGUCCGCCUUCCGCGCUCGCCUGCGACUGCGAAGCCGCCGGAUCUCCGGCCUCCGGCACCAGUCGGAGAGGUUUGGGCCGUUUAUUGCCAAGCUGUAGGUCCCGAAAUCGGCAGCGCGGCUAAUCGAUGUAGAACCUUCCAGUUAGUGGUAUCCGGGGAUUGCUACUGUACUAACUAACCCCUGUUGGGGCCAACUGCGAUUUACAGUAGUGUUGCUGUGCGGUUCGUUGUUACUUAAAAUCGUCAUGUUCCCAAAUCAUGGAGUCUUAGUAUCUGUACUGAAUUGGUCACCUCUUGACUGCUCAAUGCAUUGCCAGACAACGCUGCCGGGCUUGAACUUUAAGGAUGUGGAGUUUGGUGUUGAGCUGGAAAUGUAGCACUAGGAUCAUGAUUCAUGUACAACAGCACAUGUGGUUUAGCAUUUAACACAAUGCAGCUCUAGGAUCAUGCACAGGUGGUAAUUUUGCUGUAACUUUAUGCACAGGUGGCACUCACCCGAAACGUCCACAAGCAUUGAUUUACAAUUAUUUGAAGACAGAUGAUGAAUAUGCAUUAAAAAACUAGUGGUCACAAAGCAGACAAAUAAUUACAGAUAGAAGUUGAACAAUAUGAUUUUAGUUACAAUAUCCUUUAAUUUUACUAGAAAUGGAAAUAUUGUUCAUCUAAAGAAGACAGUACACAUCAUUAGGAAUUAGAUUACAGACAUGAUAUAUCUACAACUAUAUCAUGCCGACUCCAAUCCCAGGAUUGUUCUUUUGCCCUCGCAAUCUGCCGCUCUUGAUAUCAAAUAUAAAUUGAUGGCAUCCCUUCUUGAAUUGUAAUAGAAAAUUCACCACAACUGUAGACGUAGAUUCUCUUACAACUCACUUAUAAAAUGGGGAAACUGACUGUGUUCUACUACCAUCAGUGAAUGAAUCAUUAUCAGUCGCGACUCACGACCCAUAAGUUCUUUGCUUUUGCCACAAGAGUAGAUAUAGGCAUGCUAUAUGCCAUGAACCCUUUGUUGCCCAAGAAGAUCCUGUAGUUCUCAUCCUUCGACAUUGUUUGUUCUACCGUUGACAGUGCUUCUAUCAUCCUGAAUUCGUUGAAACAGUCUGCAUAUUGAUAAUUGCAAUUCUCCAUGCAAAUGACUUGCUCAAGUAUGACCCUCCUGAUCCCAGGACAAUGAGCACUAGGUCCGUCAUUCAACACGAUGACAAGCCUCUUCACAAAUGCCCGCUUAAUUUGACUGUUGUGUAGUUCUCGGGCAAAGUCAUCAGGAACGAUUUCACAAAUCUGUGAACUAAGGCCAAUGAGGAUCUCUAGUUCUGCCCCUUCCAUGUCCAUUAUUCUUUUGAACAUCUGUAGUGAAAUGUGUCAUGAUUAGUAGUAAUAUAAUGUACCACUACACCUAUAUAGUUCAGUGAUAAAUAACCACGCAGAAGUAAAAAAAUGCAUGUCAAACUUUCACCAAAAACAUACACACAAGAGCAAAUGAAAAUUUCAUUAUCCACCUCCAAUAGCGCACUUGUUGCUUGAAUUAGCAGGGCUCACCUUUUUCAGGGGAUGGUGUAGUACCUUCUUGUCCGAUUGUGUGAGAUGGAGUCCAGCGUGCAAGCACAGAUUACGCAACAAGCUUGCAGCCACAUAUAUGUACUUGUCAUCAUUGGUCAGGAUCAUAGCUGUGAGUUUCUUAAUGAACUCUGGUUCCUUCAAAAUAACAAAGCAACUAUGCUCACUCUCUGUUGUCAGCACUGCCAGUGCUUGCCCCGCAACCUUCUGUAGCGAGUGAUCAGCAUUGGUACUCGUGAUUGCUUCUGCACUUAGAAAUAACUGCAUCAGCAUGGUAAUGAUAGGUUGGAUGUGACCAAUCUCCUGCCUUGUGUUCCCAUCAACGGCAAGAUUUUUGAGGAUUGCUGCCACCAACUUUUUAAAUUCCUGACUGCUCAUGCUGUGUCCCAAGAUCUCUGUGAGGUUUCUCAGCAGGAAGGGGUGUUUUGAUAUCUUGUACCUCAGUGUUAUGCCGAUUUCCCCGUCAAUGCUUGUGAGCCUUUGUAGCACCUUCAGUGAUGACUUCAGCAGGACCUUUUGUUGUGCUUCGGUAUUCAUCGUGUCACUUCUGUAGCUUGCAAAUCCAAUGAUCUUCGGGAUGAGGUCAGCGUCUUUACUGAUUUCCACACAAUUGUCCUGAUCAUGGCCAGCAAGACUGCCAAUAAUUGCCAUUGCCAGUGCAGGGAGAAGAUCAUGGUCUGUCGACAGCUGCUCCUGGGGAAUUGACCAGAAUUCUGAAAUCCACUGCUAGCAUCUGAGCAUGCAGUUCUGUUCGUUGGUGCCAAAUGGCUGGGUUGACCUGGCUUGUGUUUCCACCAGGUUACCAGUCCCCAACAGCUGGUCUCGUCUUUGCUCUCGGUUAUCAGCUACAUCCCUUACUGCGUCGUGUUCUUCAUCUUGGCUGUCUUCUGUAUUUAGAAAUGGAUCUUGUUUUUCUUCAUCAACAGUAUCGAAAAGUGGGUUUCCUCUUUUCGGUCUGCCGUCAGCGUCAAGAAGUGCAGAUAAAAUCUGUACUGUACCAGGGAAAGUGACAACAGAGAGGUUCUUUGCAAGCACAGAGUGACCUUCGCGGCAUAUAAUCUGACAGUUGCAUCCUUUGGACAUGUCCAAUCCAUCAUUCUGAUUAUUCUGGCCACCGUCUCGAUAGAAUUGGCAAGUUUUGAAAGGAGAUGUGCCUUGGUUGCCUCCCUUUGCAGUAAGCUGUGCAUCACUUGAAUCCCGUGGAGCUGAUUCUUGGAUGAGUCUGAGUUUAUAGAAUCCAUGGCAAAGGUGCCCAGGCUGAUCUUCUUUGGAGCAAGCACGCCAUCAUGCAUGCAUUUAUCUAAGGCAUAUGCAUAGUACAGAUUGACAGAUUCCACUCCCCACGGUCCUCUAAAUCCGCUAGAAUGGACGAGAGAUCUCCGAGGGAUGAACGAAAAGAACUCGAGCACACAAGCCCAAAGAUAGAGCAGUCCUUGUCCAAGCACCAUUCCGUAGAAGAUUCUAAGAGAUGCCACUAGGUUACCAUCGUAAGCAUUUCUGUCCUUAAGCUUUUUGAGGCUCCACAGUGCCAGAAAUACACGCACCACUGCUGCUGGAAUCUGGAAGUUGCCAAAUGACAGCACUGCUAGGGCACCCACUUGGAUUAUUAGAAUGACAGGAAACUUCUCAUGUGGAUCUAUGCCUAGCAUGAUCACCUGUGUCCCUAGGGCCGCAAUUAUGCACAAGUUUAGGAGAACUUGACGACAAGUUCUUUUCUUGCUGCCCAAGGCUCUUUCAACUAGUUCGCUGAUUAUAGGGAAUUGCAGCCUGCUUAUGGUUACCAAUAUCACUGGCACAAGUAGUGUUGUGAAUAUUAUCCACCUGAUUGAUGGUUUUAUUUCAUAUUUAUCAUCAUCUGGGUUGUCGCUAACGUGAACAGAUAGAGGAGGAACCAUCAGUAGGAUUGCAACUAAGGGGCUCCAUAGCGAUGUGACCCGGCGUAGCCGUUUGCCUACGUGCAGGUUAUGCCCAGACAGGAACCGGGCACUUGCAAGUGUUAUUGUCAUCAAUAGAAGGCCCAUACUAGACAGAUAAUCUUUCUUCAGUAGGAUCAUGAAAACAUCGAAAAAGCAUAGGGUCAUAAUCAGUCCAUUCGUGCCAACAGGUCUGAAAGCACCCCUGGUGUUGAAGAACAGUUGGUAAUCCAGCCUGUUGUUGCGGGUUAACAUCCUGAGGCAUGUAUAUAUAUGGGCAUCAUUAAAUGGACAUAAUAUAGAUCACAAAUUCAGAUCAUAACGUUCGUAAGAAAGACAGGCAUGCAAUUUGGUGGCACUGAUAGAUACAGGGAAGAAAGAGGUAGACAAUACUUCCUCCGAUCCAAAAAAAAUAUCGCCCAUUUUAUACUAAGUUAGUAUAAAAUUUGUACUAAGUUGGCGACACUUUUUAUGUAUCUGAGAAAGUAUGUCUUUUUUAAAACAAAAGCUAGUUUCGACUUUCAAGAUGGAAGUUUUCAAUACAUACCAUAUUUACUUAGUUUCAGCUUUCAAGUAUGAAUCGUAAUACUUCUCAUAAUGGUUUUUUAGCAAGUUAUCUUAAGCAUUUUGCUGACGUGGUACACAAUUAGUGAGAAAACCGUUCUUACGUUAGCGACUGUCUUUUCACACUAUUAUUAAAUAAAUGCUACUCUCCUGACCCAAAACUUUGUACUAAAUCUCCGACACCUUAUUAUGGAUCGGAGGACACUAAGAGACGAUGUGAGAUGGUCUCCUUAGUGUCCUUGUACUUUAGAUAGACACUAAGAGACAAUGUGAGAUGGUCUCCUUAUCAUUUAUUAUGGGCUUAAGGACAACAUCUAAGAGACGAUCCAUUAUGGCCUGUGGGAGACCUAAUCUUUGAUGAAAAAUUAGUUAUGGAGUUUAUUGGUAUUUUUUGUAUAUCCUGAGAUAAUUGUUACCACUAUUUACUGGAGUACUCCAUCCGUUCCAAGAUGUAUGGUGUAUAACUUUUGUUGAUUGUGAAACUUUCUAAGGUUGACCAACUAUAUAACAGAAAUAAUCAACAUCUAUGAGGUCAAAUGAUGAUCAUCACUAUUGUGAAAUAUAUUCACAUAAUUAAUAUCUUAGUUUGGCACUCCAUAUGUCGAUAUUUUUUGCUAUAUAUAAGUUAGGACAAAUUUCAAAUCGAGUUGACAGUUAAUAAAAGUUAAACGCCAUACAUUUUGAAACGGAGGAUGGAGUAGCAUAAUUUCGAGGGACAAGAAGACGCAAGCAGUUAAAAUAGUUUGCGACAGUACCUCGCGGCUUCGAGGAAUACUAUGAUCGUGGCAAACUUAAAAUCCAUCCUCGUGGGAGUUCAGGUCCUUGGCGUAGCCGCCGAGCAGGACGACGGUGGCCCAGGUGAAGGCCAGCGUGCCCAGCGGCCAGCGCGUUCCCCACCCUCUCCAUCAGCGCGAUAGAGCGGACGAAGCCGUUCAGCCACUUCUCCGGCUUGGCUGCUGCGGCGGCGGACGCCAUGGGUGCCGCCGAUCCGCCGCCGUGAGCCGGCAUCUGGAGGCGGUGCUCUGAUCCCCCGCCGGCGCCGCUGGGCAUAUUGCUUAAUUAGACGCCGCCGAGCUGGGAGACAACGCGCUGCUAGGCGGCUAGCUCAAGUGCUCAGGCCGCCUUCGAUCUCAACGGCGAUGUACUUAACUUAAUUAACGAGGUUGAUUAAGGGAACGGCUAGAGGCAGAUUAACACGCAAAGGAUCGGAUGCCAUCCCAUCCAGGCAUCCAUUGAUGCAAAGUUUGAUUAAUUAAGGUCUAAUUAGAACAUGGUACUACUCGUUAGUGAGUGGCAACUUUCUUUCUCGGAACAUGCGCGCUAGCUGCAAGUUCUGUUGCUGAUUGCUUUGAACGCUGCCCGGCCUCACGCGCCACCGUCCGUUUCCCACACGAGCUAGCUCACGUUUGUGAGUGCCAACUUUUUCCCCGGGUCAUGUGACCUGAACUGAAACAAUGGUCAAUGUAGCGCAUUUGUUCACUUCGCCUCCACCUCUAACGAUCUAUUUAGAUCACAUCCAGAUUAGUCACAACUCAUUUUCUCUAAGUUUAUACAACAAUAUAGAAAAAAAAGAUCAAAAUUUACAGCACUAAAACAGUUUCAUUGUAUCCAUAAAAAAUAAGUAUGCACAUUGUAUUUAUUUUGUAUUGUAUCACGCUAAUAUAUUUUUACAUAAACCUAGUUGAACUUUUCUAAAUUUUAGAGUAAAUUAUAUAAAACCACCACUUUUGGGAUAGGUUACCACCAUGUUGAUUUUUUGUUGCGCGGAAUCACCACUUUUGGUGUAGUCUGUUGCUCCGAGUUCAAACAGUCGAAUUUAGAUGUUCAAACCGGUUCUGGCAACAUAAACCCACCAGUUUGUUUGUGUGGCGACGGCGGAGCUCACUAGAGAGGAGGAAGACGGCGAAGUUGGCGGAGCUCUGCUCGGUGCACGGUGAAGGGGCCUCAUCACCGCGAUCCACGGCAAGGCAUCGAAGUUGGCUCCGUCAGCGCCGAGGCGACCAUAACGAUGGUGGUGUGACAAGGAUCUCGUGGAGGCGGCGGAGGAGCGCCUGGGCGUGGGAGGUCCGAGCCACGGCGUCUUCGGUUCCAUGGUGUUGACGUAGUUCUCUGGGAUGAGACAACCGGACUGGGGAGUGGCUGAAACGGUGGCGGGUGCUUCACCUGAGUUGGAGAAGAAGGGUCCGGCGCGGCGGAUUUGAGCGCGCUCGGACCUCUGGAAGGGCGCGACAAACUCAGGGCGGCGCAGCGUGGCUUCUAGGCUCGGUGCAAGGGCGAGUGAGGCGGCGGACGAGUUUGCCGUGGGAACAUGUGUCGCGAAUGGGUCCGUGUUGUCACAAAUCAGCUUAGCGACUAGAUUCAACUGUUCGGGUUCGGAUUUACACCUUAGAUGGUUUGGUUACCCAACCUAAUCUCCAAAAAUGAUGGUUUUGCGCUGUUUACUCUAAAUUUUUUCCUAUUUAGAGACAGAAGAAGUCUUUUCUUUGACACGAGAAGAAGUAUAAAUUAGACAACAGUGAUUUGGGAAGCGGCGACAGCGGGGAGGAGCUAGCCGGUCGAGCCCCUCGACGGGCCGCGGCCACCAACUCCACCACGGCAGCGAGCAGCUCGACGUGGACUUCCAACACCCAAACUCCGCAGGUGCCCUUUACGUCUGCUCCCGUCUCUUCCAAUCUUCCUGCAUUCCCUUUUCCGCCCGCCGCCUUCCGCGCUCGGUGCGUGCGAGAGCCGCCGGAUCUCCGGCCUCCAACACCCCAUCGGAGAAUAUUAGGCCGUCUAUUGCCAAGCUUUAGGUCUCAAAGCCGCCCAAUUCGGCAGCGCGGCUAAUCGAUGUGUAGCAGCUUCCAGUUAGUGGUAUCUGGGGAUUGCAGAUUGCUACUGUACUGACUAGUGUGGUGCUGGGGAACGAAAGGGGAAUUGACAGUGUUUGCUGUGUGGUGUGUUGUUGCCAUGCUCCCGUCCUGCCAUCCGCUACUAAACUACACGGUUCUUAGUUAACAUCAUUAUUCAAAAUUAAUCAUGAGUCUUAGUAGAACCUCUACUGAAUUGGUCACCUCUUGACUGAUGAAUGCAUUGCCAGACAAUGCACGCUGGCAGGCAUUUUUUAUAAGGGAAAUUUUAUUGAAUUCUCAUCGUCGCAUCAAGGAUAUAUAACACAUGAGUUCAAAUACCCGACCCGUGCAUAACAAGAUGCACAAACACAGCCAACAGAAAGAAACCAACUCCAAACAUGGAGUUAAGGGUAUGGAGUUUGGUCUUGAACUGGAAAUGCAAAACUAGGAUCACACACAAGUGGUUUAUCAUUUCAUAUUGAAUCACAAUGCAGCACUAGGAUCAUGCACAAGUGGAAAUUUUGCUGAAACUUUAUGCUAAAAUGUGUUGUCCACAAGCAUCGAUUUACAAACAGUUGAGGGCAAAUGAAUAUGAAUUGAAAGUACCAGUGGUAACCAAGCAGAGAAAUAAAUUAGAUAUAAGGCGAUAUGAUUAUAAUUACAAUAUACUUUCUUUUGAUUGCAAAUGAAAAUAUUGUUCGUUCCAAAAAAGACAGUACGUAUCAUUAAAAAUCAUACUCCAACUAUAUCAUGCCCUUGUGAUUCCAAUCCCUGGAUUGUUGACCUCGCAACAACUGCCGCUCUUGAUAUCAAAUCUAAAUUCAAGGUGUCCCUUCUUAUAUUGGGAUGAACACUUCGACACAAUUGUAGAUGUAGAUUCCCAUAUUACUUAUAAAUGGGGAAAUUAUGUAUUAAUAAGUCCUACCAUCUACGGACGAAUCGUUAUCAGUCAUGGGCAGUAAGUUCCUUUGCUCUUGCCACAAGAGCGGAGAUGGGUGUACUGUACUCCAUCAACCCUGUGUCGCCCAAAAAGAACCUGUAGUUCUCGGCCUCUGACAAUGUCUGUUCUACUGUUGACAGUGUUUCUGCCAAUUUGAAUUCAUUGAAACAGUCUGCAUAGGCAGCAUAGCAAUAAUUGCACUCCACCAUGUUAAUGACUUGUUCAAGUAUGACCCUCCUGAUCCCAGGACAAUGAGGCUGAGCUCUAGUUUUCGUAUUUGCAUUCAACGCGUCAACAAGCCUGUUCACAAAUCUCCGCUUAAUCUGAAUGUCAUGUAGUUCUCGGGUAAAGUCUUCAGGAAUGAUUUUACAGAUCUGUGAACUAAGGCCAAUGAGGAUCUCUAGUUCUGCCCCUUCUAUGUCCUUUAUUCUUUCCAACACCUGCAGUGAAAUAUAUCAUGAUUUGUAAAAAACUAAAAAUAUACUGUACAGCUAGUCAGCUACACCUAUAUAGUUCAGUGUUAAAUAACUGUGCAGAGGUACAAAAUUGCAGGCCAAACUUCCACUAAAAACUCAAGUACAAGGACAAAUGAAAAUUGAACUAGGUAUCUCUAAUAGUUGACUUGUUGUUUGAGUUAGCAGGGCUCACCUUUCGCAAGGCAUGAGGUAGUUCUUUCAGGUCCGACUCGGUGAGCUCGGUUCGAGCAUGCUGGCAGAGAUUACACAACAGAGUUGCAGCCACAUAUAUGAGCUUGUCAUCAUGGAUCAUAAUCUUGAGUUUCUUAAUGAACUCUGGUUCCUUCAACAUAACCAAACAAUUCUGAACACUCUCUGUUGUCAGCAUUGCAAGUGCUUGCCCUGCGACCUUCUCUAGCAAGUGAUCAGCAUCGGUACUUUUGGUUCCUUCUGUAUUUAGAAAUGCCUGCAUGAGCAUGUUAAUGGUCAGUUGAGUGCGACCAAUCUCCUGCCUUAUGCUCCCAUCAACGGCAAUGUUUCUAAUGAUUCCUGCCACCAAUUUUCUGAAUUCCUGGCUGUUCAUGCUGUCUUGCAAGAUCUCUGUGAGAUUUCUCAGUAGGAAGCGAUGUUUUGAUAUCUCAUACCUCAGUGUUAUGCCAAUUUCCCCGUCAAUUCUUGUGAGCCUUUGCAGUACCUUCAGUGAUGACUUUAGUAGGACCUUUUGCCGUACCACAUCACUUGUCGUGUCACUUUUGUAGCUUGUGAAUCCUAUAAUCUUUGGGAUGAGGUCUGCUGCUUUGACGAUUUCCACACAGUUGUCCUGACCACAACCAGCAAGAUUGCCUAUAAUCGACAUGGCCAGUGCAGGUAGAAAAUCAUGGUCUGUUAAUGGCUGCUCCUUAGGAAUUGACCAGAAAUCUGAAAUCCGCCGCCAGCACCUGAGCAUGCAGGAAUUCUCUUCGUUGAUGACAACUGGUUGGGUUGAGAUGGCUUGUGUUCCCUUCUGGUUAUCGGUGCCCUGAUGUUGGUCUCUUAUUUGCUCUUGGUCAUGAGCCACAUCCCUUAGCUCGUCAUGUUCUUCCUCUUGGCUAUCUUCUGUGCUCAGAAAAUGAUCUUGUUUUUCUUCUUGUUCAUCAUCUGCAUCCAGAAGUGGGUUUCCUCUUUUCCGUCUACUGUCAACGUCAAAAACUGCAGAUACAUGCUGCACUGUACCGGGGAAAGUGGCAACACAGAGGUCCUUGGCAAGCUCAGUGGUGACCUUUGCGGCAUAUAAUCUGAUAGUUGUAUCCUUUUGACUUUUCCAAUCCAACAUUCUGAUUAUUCUGGUCAUCGUCUUGCUGGAACUGGUAAGUUCUGAAAGGAGCCAUGUCUUGGUUGGUUCACUUUGCAGAAAGCCGUGCAUCAUCCAUAUCCCGUAGAACUGGUUCUUGGAUGAGUCUGAGUUCACAGAAUCCAUGGCAAAGGUGCUGAAGCUGAUCUUCUUUGGAGCAAGCACACCCUCUUGCAUGCAUUUCUCGAAGGCAUAUGCAUAGUACAGAUUGACAGAUUCCACUCCCUGCUGACCUCUAAAUCCACCACAUCGGACAAGGUAUCUCCGAGGGAUGAAUGAGAAGAACUCGAGCGCACAAGCCAAAACAUAAAGCAUUCCUUGACCAAGAACCAUCCCGUAGAAGAUUUUAAGAGAUGCCACGAGGUUAUGAUCGUACUUAGUGUUGUCCCCAAUUGGUCCAAGGCGCAACAGUGACAGCACAAUGCGCACCACCGCUGCUGGAAUCUGGAAGUUGCCAAAUGACACCACUGCUAAGGCACACGCUUGGACUAUCAUGAUCACAGAGAGGUCCAUAUCUAGACGCAGCAUGAACACCUGCAUCCCCAGCGCGACAAUCAUACACAGGUUUACAAUAACUCGACGCCAAAAUACUUUUUUGUUCCCGAGAGUACUAUCCACUAGUUUGAUGAUUCUUGCAAACCGUAGCCUACUUAUUGUUACCAAAAGCACUGGCACAAGUAGUGUUGUGAACACAAUCCAUCUGGUCGAUGUGUCUACUGGAUGAUCGUAAGGAUCAUCAUAUAUGUAUUGACUAACAGAAUCUGGCAGAGGGGGAGCCAUCAGUAGGAUUGCAACCAAGGGACUCCAUAGCGAUGUGGCACGGCGCAGCGGAUUGCAUAUGUGUAGUUUCAGCCCAGACAGGAACCGGCCAAUUGCAAGUAUUAUUGCCAUUAAUAGAAGGCCCACAUUGGACAUAUAAUCUCUCUUCAAUAGGAUCACGAAAACAUCGAAGAAGCAUAAGAUCGCAAUCAGUGCAUUCCAGCCAACUGGUCUAAAAGCACCCCUGGUGUUAAAGAACAGUUGGUAAUCCAGUCUGUUGUUGCGGGUGAACAUCCUGAGGUAUGUAUGUAUUGGUGUUGUCAUGGCAUGAUAUAAAUAACAAAGCCAUAUCACAAAGUUUCUAAGGAAAAUAGGCAUGCAACUGGAAUAAACAUAAUUUGAGUAGAUAAGAUUCUCAAACAAAAAAAAGUAGUACUUACUCCGAUCCUAAAUUCUUGUUGUCGAACUAAAACCACGACAAGAAUUUAGGAUCGGACGGAGUAGAUCAUAAGUUCAUAGCAGUGCUGGUUUCAGUAGCUAAGCUGCCUUGGUGGCAUUGAUUGAUCCAAUAACGAGGUAGAGCAUAUUUUGUAGAGUGAAAAACUAUAGUUUCAAGUAUGGAAGAUUCCAAUAAAUACCAUGCUAGUUUCAAGUUUGGACCGUUACGCAUGAUGCCAAUUAGUUUAUUUUGUAGAUUUUUUCUGUAGACUUGGUUAAAGUUUGACUUGGCAUAAAGUUAGAACUUCUUACAUUUAGGCAUGGAGGGAACAGAGGGAGCAGCAUAUAUAGUUCAGUUUGCAUGCAUAUAUAAUUAUAUUUACCUUGUGGCUUCCAGGAACACUAUCGCUGUCGCGUACCAAAAAUCGAAGUGGGAGCCGUCGUCCUUGGGAUCAUCCUUGCCAAGGUCACUGGCGUAGCCGCCGAGCAGGACGACGGUGGCCCAG